UGUCAUACAAAAUCUUGCUUCGGUCUGUUUGAAGACAGUGUUAGUUUCAGUGCAAGAUAGGUGCAAGGUUUGCACAUAAUGCAACAUAGGCUAAGAAACUAUUUUGGACGCACCCGAUGGUAGUCCUAGGUAAAAGGCUCAAGUGAAAGCUCGGUUUGGUCUAUUUUGAGAUAGUGCUAAUCUUGAUGCAAGAUAGAUGCACAGUCUGCGUGAAACGUCCAUAUGCUUAGAAAUUAAUUUGGACACACCC
rnacentral:lncRNA from 1 species